GAAAUGCGAUAAGUAAUGUGAAUUGCAGAAUUCAGCGAAUCAUCGAAUCUUUGAACGCACAUUGCGCCCGCCAGCACUCUGGCGGGCAUGCCUGUUCGAGCGUCAUUUCAACCCUCAGAACCCCUUGCGGGAUCUGGCGUUGGGGAUUGGCAUCCAGCCAGCCCCGAAAUCUAGUGGCGGUCCCUCCGCGACCUCCCCUGUGCAGUAGCGAUACCUCGCAGCGGGACAGCGGUCUGACCACGCCGUAAAACCCCCAACUUCUCAAGGUUGACCUCGAAUCAGGUAGGAAUACCCGCUGAACUUAAGC
rnacentral:misc_RNA from 1 species